rnacentral:rRNA from 1 species
AGCAGCCGCGGUAAUUCCAGCUCCAAUAGCGUAUAUUAAAGUUGUUGCAGUUAAAAAGCUCGUAGUUGAAUUUCGGGGUCAAUAAGUUGGUCGUGCCAAUGGUAUAUACUGGCUUUAUUGAUUCCUACCUCUUGACGAACUGUGAUGCCAUUAAUUUGGUGUUGCAGGAAAUCAGGACUGUUACCUUGAAAAAUUAGAGUGUUUAAAGCAGGCUUACGCUUGAAUACAUUAGCAUGGAAUAAUGAAAUAGGACGUUUGAACCUAUUUUGUUGGUUCUAGGAUCGACGUAAUGAUUAAUAGGGAUAGUUGGGGGCAUUAGUA